GAUGAACGCUGGCGGCGUGCCUAAUACAUGCAAGUCGAGCGAACAGAUAAGGAGCUUGCUCCUUUGACGUUAGCGGCGGACGGGUGAGUAACACGUGGUUAACCUACCUAUAAGACUGGAAUAACUCCGGGAAACCGGGGCUAAUGCCGGAUAACAUUUAGAACCGCAUGGUUCUAAAGUGAAAGAUGGUUUUGCUAUCACUUAUAGAUGGACCCGCGCCGUAUUAGCUAGUUGGUAAGGUAACGGCUUACCAAGGCAACGAUACGUAGCCGACCUGAGAGGGUGAUCGGCCACACUGGAACUGAGACACGGUCCAGAAUCCUACGGGAGGAAGCAGUAGGGAAUAUUCCGAAAUGGGCGAAAGCCUGACGGAGCAACGCCGCGUGAGUGAUGAAGGUCUUCGGAUCGUAAAACUCUGUUAUUAGGGAAGAAAAAAUGUGUAAGUAACUGUGCACGUCUUGACGGUACCUAAUCAGAAAGCCACGGCUAACUACGUG
rnacentral:rRNA from 1 species